GGGGGAAGGCUUAACCCAUUCAUAAACAUAGCAGUUUCUCUGAAACUGCUAUAAUUAUGAAAAAAUGGGUUAAGCCUAGAAGGACCUGGCACCCAGACCACUUCAUUAAGCUGAAGUGGUCUGGGUGCCUAGAGUGGUCCUUUAAGCUACUAAAAACAUGUUAUAUUGUUGUACAUCAUACACUGAUAUCUGAACAUAUGACUCUAAAUUAAUCAUUUUUGUUUCUUUGAAUAUUGAUCAUUCGGUUUAUGACAUUAAAUAAAAUGUAAAGUAACCUCUUAAGGGCAUGAUUAAAUAAUCCACCAUACCAAUCCAGCUUUUAAGGAUCCUAAAUCAAAUUGGAAUACCAAACUCAUUAAACAGUGGUAGCACCAUGUAGAGCGGCAAAAUUUGAAUUAAGCAACUAGCUUACACAAUUUAGGCAAACAUUUUGAAACUGGAAAAAAAAAUAUCCAAUUCUAUCAAGUUUCAAUUUUUUCCAACUUGGCUAAUUUUGCUUAAGUUACUGAAAUCAGUUGUUAACUUACUACAGCUCAUAUUUGUUAGCUCACUGCAAUGUAUGUCUAUAUAGGGCAAAGCAGGACCAUGCAAGACCGCACUUAAAGGAACACUGUAGGCACCCACACCAGUUCAGCUCAUUGAAGUGGGCUGGGUGCAAACUCCCAUCACCCUUAACCUCGCAGUAGUAAUUAUUGCAGUUUUUAUAAAUAGUUAUAACUCCUUCUUUAGUGGCUGUCUACCAGACAGCCAUUAGAGGGACUUGCGGAAUUGAAACUGACUUUUGGUCCGUUAUCUGAAGCUGAAUGUCCAUACGCUCUGCGUCAGAUUUUCCCCAUAGGAAAGGAUUGAAUAAUGCUUUCCUAUCGGCUCAUGCGCAUUAGGUCUCCCCCGGCCACCGAGGGCCAUCAGUGCUGGACCCAGGUAAGUGACAGAAGGGGUUAUUAACCCCUUCAGCGCUGCGGGAGGGGGCCUUGGCAGAUAGGGAAGCUAUAGUGUCAGGAAAACAAGUUUGUUUUUCUGGCACUAUAGUUUCCCUUUAAUGUCUGAGAAAACUCAUCUGAUGCUUUCAGCCAACGGGCAUACUCCUGCAUGGCCAUGCUUUGUUUUACAGAGACGGCUUCUUCUGCUUGACAAGACUUGAUGCAGCGAAUGCUGAACGAACGCCAGUUGGGAUCCAAGUAACUUGUUAAACCAUGCUAAAACGCUUUAACAUCUUAAUGUAGGACAGCACCAGGGUACUUCUGGCACCAAACCAUUAGAGCAGGCUAUAUUGGUUCUGGUGCUUGGAGUGUUAUUUAAGUGGUAAACCACACAAUUAUUGAAUAGCACAUAGAAGUAACAAAAAACAAUCAACGGCAUCACAACUGCGGAACCUCUAAGUCUAGUGUUUGAAAGUAAAAAUAAAUAAACAAUAGAACAAACAUUCCUAUAUGCCAUGUACAUAGCUAUUUAAGAGAGUCUAUACAUUUUAAAGCAGUUUUGCUAAUGCUUACAUCAGCCAGCCGUUAUGAAAACUGGAGAGUUUAAGUGCUGCAGCUUGAUUAAGAGGGCCAUACAUCUUUACUUUAGCAAUAACUUUAAUAUAAAAAACACAUUAAGUUAUUCAAUUUCAAAACUGAAAUAUUAUUUUUAGCAAGAAAAAUGUUGUAGCUGCAUUUCUAAGAGCCCCACUUUUAUUUGAGUUUGAUAAAUAACACUUACAUCAAUCUGUCUCAAUUAAACAUAACUUUUUAUCCUUUUGAAUAUACUCUAUUUAUUGUUAACACCUGUAGAAUAAUACGAACCAGCAAAAUCAAUAAAAGCAAUAUCCAGCCAUCUCCAAUGACACGAUCAAGAGACAAAACAAUUUAUCACAAAAACGAAAAUUUGAAAACCAUAAACAAAAUCAGUGUAAACAACACCGUGAACUUUUUCAUUUUUUUUUCUUAGUAUGAAUGUUUUUGAAGGAAAUUCCAUUUUCUGGAAGUAUACAUAUUUUCACGUACAUAUAGUAAAUCUAAAAAUGUUUCUCGACUGAGCAAUUCUCAGUAAUUUAGUAAUUAUAUUUUGUGAUGGUAAUAUGCACGCAUCUUCAUAAAAACUGUGUCUAAUAAAUUAUGCACAACAUCUUUUAGGAUUUUUUUUUAUGUUGAUUAUUUUUGUAAUUUUUUUACAUUUUUGGAUUUUUGCAAUCGUAUUUUUGGAAUCGUAUAAAAACUCAUCAAUUGCCAAUCUAGAGUUUCAAGGAUAUGAAUCCUAUUCUAUUCAAUUUGCCUUGCCAUUUGGUACUUUCCUUAUUAUAUACAGCAGACUAUAUAAGUAUUUCAAUAUCAAUAUUAUCUAAUUUUAAGGGUGUUAGCGGUAUUUUGGGUGCUUUUCUGACUUUUGACUUACCCUGUAUCUAUAUAUUACUUCAUUGGCACUUGUGAAAUUGAGAAUGUUUACAGCAGCUGUGCAGGUAACUUUUACAUGACCACUUUUUAAUGUUACAGUUCAAAUAGUUGUGUUCUAACUGCAGGCCAAAAGAAAAGAUUGACAAAAAAAAAACUUUUAUAAAUUAUAAUAUGUAUAUAUUUGUUUAAAAAUGUAUGUAUGUCCUGAUUUAUUUUUUACUGGUUUGAAUUUGGAAUUGCUUUGUAAACAUAUACUUUAUUGUUAUAAAUAAAGAAUUCUAUGCACUGCC